rnacentral:piRNA from 1 species
UGCUUCCUGACCCUUAGGUGAUUGGAGU